AUGACCAAGCUGGUAGGGCUGCAGUUUUCCAUUCAAUACAAAAAAGGUGUAGAAAACACAACUGCAGAUGCUUUAUCUAGAGUGGCACAUUUGUUCUCUGUACAAAGUGUUUCCACCAACAGACCAGUGUGGAUACAGGAAUUUCUCAACUCCUACUCUGUUGAUCCAGAGGCUUUGUCCAUGUUACAAAAACUAGCUGUGGACUCAACUUCUUGUCCUGGGUUCCAACUUCAGGAGGGGCUGCUCAAACAGGACAGUAAGAUAUGGGUGGGAGCAAAUGUAGGUCUGAAAACAAAACUGAUCCAGGCCUUUCAUUCUACUCCAGUAGGAGGACAUUCAGGUAUUCUGCCUACAUACCACAGAGUCAAACAGUUGUUUAGUUGGAAGGGAAUGAAAACAUAUGUGGAGAACUUUGUCAAGCAGUGUGGCAUAUGUCAGCAAGCCAAACAUGAGCUGUGCAAAACUCCAGGGCUACUACAGCCUUUACCCAUCCCUGACAACCCUUGGCAGGCUAUUAGCAUGGAUUUCAUAGAAGGGUUACCCAAGUCUGAGGGAUAUUCAGCCAUAUUGGUAGUAGUGGAUCGCUUCACCAAAGUAAGUCACUUUCUGCCGUUGAAACAUCCCUUCACAGCUGCUUCUGUUGCAAAGGUGUUCCUCAACAACAUUGUGAAGCUGCAUGGACUACCACUGACAAUUGUGUCUGACAGAGAUAAGAUUUUCACCAGUUCAUUUUGGAAAGAAUUGUUUAGGAUAUGGGGCACUGAGCUACAGAUGAGCACGGCAUAUCACCUGCAAACGGAUGGCCAAACAGAACGGGUCAACCAGUGUCUAGAGAUGUAUCUGAGGUGUGCAGUCCAUGAGUGUCCUACAAAAUGGGUUACUUGGUUGCCCCAAGCAGAGUUCUGGUAUAAUUCAACAUAUCAUUCCUCCCUUGGGUGUACUCCAUACAAGGCUCUCUACGGGUAUGCUCCAAACAUGGGUCAGCUCGCUGGACAUACGACAUCAGUCAAUCGGGAUGUAAACGAGUGGUUGACGACACAUACUCAGCAUACAGCAGUUCUUAAGGAUCACUUGGCACACGCUCAGUGCAAGUAUAAGCACUUUGCCGACAAGAAGAGGUCUGAGAGAGUGUUUGCUCCAGAGGAAAUGGUAUACCUGCGACUACAACCUCAUGCCCAAUCCUCAGUGGUAAAUCGACCGUGUAGGAAGCUGGCACUGAAGUAUUUUGGCCCAUACAAGGUCCUGGAGAAAAUCGGCAACGCUGUGUAUAAACUGGAGUUACCAAAGGGGAGUCAAGUCCACCCAGUUUUCCAUGUGUCGCAGCUUAAGAACCAUGUGCCUGAUCACACGCCAGUGUUCACUACGUUACCAGUACCAAUUGAUCUCUCUGUGCUGGGGGUGUACCCUGAAGAAAUCCUGGACCGCAGGCUGGUCAAGAAGGGAAACGCUGCUCAUCUUCAAAUACUGAUCAAGUGGGCAAAGAUACCGGCUGCUUCUGCCACCUGGGAGGACUAUGAAGUGCUCAAGGAACGCUUUCCAUCGGCACCAGCUUGGGGACAAGCUGGUUCUUCAGGGGCGGGUACUGUAAGUGACAGAGAGGCAAGCUCACAGGCGAUCGCUGUAGCGAAGGCGCGAAGCGUUUCAAGUAUUCAUGGGCUGGCGGGUUGA
rnacentral:rRNA from 1 species